rnacentral:rRNA from 1 species
GUUUGAUCAUGGCUCAGAACGAACGCUGGCGGCGUGUCUAAUACAUGCAAGUCGUACGAGAAAGCCCGGCUUCGGUUGGGUGAGUACAGUGGCGAACGGGUGGGUAACACGUGGGCAAUCUGCCCUUAAGUCUGGGAUAAGCUCGGGAAACUGGGUCUAAUACCGGAUGACAUCCCUGGGGGGCAUCUUUCGGGGAUCAAAGGCGGGGCAACCUGCCGCUUAGGGAUGAGCCCGCGGUCCAUUAGCUUGUUGGUGAGGUAACGGCCCACCAAGGCUCCGAUGGAUAGCCGGCCUGAGAGGGUGAACGGCCACACUGGGACUGAGAUACGGCCCAGACUCCUACGGGAGGCAGCAGUAGGGAAUAUUGCGCAAUGGGCGAAAGCCUGACGCAGCGACGCCGCGUGGGUGAUGAAGCUCUUUGGAGUGUAAAACCCUGUCAGCGGGGAAGAACCGCAUACGGAGUAACUGCCGUAUGCCUGACGGUACCUGCAGAGGAAGCUCCGGCCAACUCCGUGCCAGCAGCCGCGGUAAUACGGGGGGAGCGAGCGUUGUUCGGAUUUACUGGGCGUAAAGGGCGCGUAGGUGGGUCUUCAAGUCAAAUGUGAAAACCGGCGGCUCAACCGUCGGCCUGCAUUUGAUACUGUUGAUCUUGAGUACGGGAGAGGAAAGCGGAAUUCCUGGUGUAGCGGUGAAAUGCGUAGAUAUCAGGAGGAACACCGGUGGCGAAGGCGGCUUUCUGGCCCGAUACUGACACUGAGGCGCGAAGGCCGGGGGAGCAAACAGGAUUAGAUACCCUGGUAGUCCCGGCGGUAAACGAUGGGCACUAGGUGUUGGAGGUAUCGACCCCUUCAGUGCCGCAGCUAACGCAUUAAGUGCCCCG